rnacentral:rRNA from 1 species
UACGAAGGGGGCUAGCGUUGCUCGGAAUUACUGGGCGUAAAGGGCGCGUAGGCGGCCUGUUAAGUCAGACGUGAAAUCCCUCGGCUCAACCGGGGAACUGCGUCUGAUACUGGCGGGCUUGAAUUCGGGAGAGGGAUGUGGAAUUCCAGGUGUAGCGGUGAAAUGCGUAGAUAUCUGGAGGAACACCGGUGGCGAAGGCGGGUCUCUGGGCCGAUACUGACGCUGAGGAGCGAAAGCGUGGGGAGCGAACAGG